rnacentral:rRNA from 1 species
UACGUAGGGUCCAAGCGUUAUCCGGAAUUACUGGGCGUAAAGAGUUGCGUAGGUGGCAUUGUAAGCAAGUAGUGAAAGCGUGCGGCUUAACCGCAUACACAUUAUUUGAACUGCAAAGCUAGAGGAUGAGAGAGGUUAUUGGAAUUCCCAGUGUAGGAGUGAAAUCCGUAGAUAUUGGGAGGAACACCGAUGGCGUAGGCAGAUAACUGGCUCAUUCCUGACACUAAGGCACGAAAGCGUGGGGAGCGAACGGG